rnacentral:rRNA from 1 species
CCUACGGGAGGCAGCAGUGGGGAAUAUUGGACAAUGGGCGCAAGCCUGAUCCAGCCAUGCCGCGUGUGUGAAGAAGGCCUUCGGGUUGUAAAGCACUUUUGUCCGGAAAGCGGUACCGGAAGAAUAAGCACCGGCUAACUUCGUGCCAGCAGCCGCGGUAAUACGAAGGGUGCAAGCGUUACUCGGAAUUACUGGGCGUAAAGCGUGCGUAGGUGGUUUGUUAAGUCUGAUGUGAAAGCCCUGGGCUCAACCUGGGAAUGGCAUUGGAUACUGGCGAGCUAGAGUGCGGUAGAGGGUAGUGGAAUUCCCGGUGUAGCAGUGAAAUGCGUAGAGAUCGGGAGGAACAUCUGUGGCGAAGGCGACUACCUGGACCAGACUGACACUGAGGCACGAAAGCGUGGGGAGCAAACAGGAUUAGAUACCCUUGUAGUC